GACGAACGCUGGCGGCGUGCCUAAUACAUGCAAGUCGAGCGAGACUCUUCGGAGUCUAGCGGCGGACGGGUGAGUAACACGUGGGCAACCUGCCUGUAAGACUGGGAUAACACCGGGAAACCGGUGCUAAUACCGGAUAAUCCUUUUCCUCUCAUGAGGAAAAGCUGAAAGUCGGUUUCGGCUGACACUUACAGAUGGGCCCGCGGCGCAUUAGCUAGUUGGUGAGGUAACGGCUCACCAAGGCGACGAUGCGUAGCCGACCUGAGAGGGUGGUCGGCCACACUGGGACUGAGACACGGCCCAGACUCCUACGGAGGCAGCAGUAGGGAAUCUUCCACAAUGGACGAAAGUCUGAUGGAGCAACGCCGCGUGAGCGAUGAAGGCCUUCGGGUCGUAAAGCUCUGUUGUUAGGGAAGAACAAGUACCGGAGUAACUGCCGGUACCUUGACGGUACCUAACCAGAAAGCCACGGCUAACUACGUGCCAGCCGCCGCCGUAA
rnacentral:rRNA from 1 species